UGCCAGCCGCCGCGGUAAUACGGAGGGUGCGAGCGUUAAUCGGAAUUACUGGGCGUAAAGGGCGCGUAGGCGGUCGGCGCAAGUCGGGUGUGAAAGCCCCGGGCUCAACCUGGGAAUUGCAUUCGAUACUGCGUAACUAGAGUCUGGUAGAGGGAAGCGGAAUUCCGCAUGUAGCGGUGAAAUGCGUAGAUAUGCGGAGGAACACCAGUGGCGAAGGCGGCUUCCUGGACCAAGACUGACGCUGAGGCGCGAAAGCGUGGGGAGCAAACAGGAUUAGAUACCCUGGUAGUCCACGCCCUAAACGAUGAGGACUAGGACGUUGGGGGGAUAAAACCCUUUAGUGUCGCAGCUAACGCGUGAAGUCCUCCGCCUGGGGAGUACGGCCGCAAGGUUGAAACUUAAAUGAAUUGACGG
rnacentral:rRNA from 1 species